rnacentral:rRNA from 1 species
AGGAAUUGCCGGGGCCCNCCAAGCNGAGGAGCAUGUGGUUUAAUUCGAUGAUACCCGAGGAACCUUACCUGGGCUCAAACGUAGAGUGAUCGUCUGUGAAAGCAGUCUNUCCUUCGGGGCAGUCUACGAGGUGCUGCAUGGUUGUCGUCAGCUCGUGCCGUNAGGUGUCGGGUUAAGUCCCAUAACGAGCGCAACCCCUAUUCUUAGUUGCCAUCAGAUAAUGCUGGGGACUCUAAGAAAACUGCCUACGCAAGUAGUGAGGAAGGUGGGGAUGACGUCAAAUCAGCACGGCCCUUACGUCCAGGGCUACACACGUGCUACAAUGGCCGAUACAGAGGGCAGCUACACAGCGAUGUGAUGCAAAUCUCGAAAAUCGGUCUCAGUUCGGAUCGAAGUCUGCAACUCGACUUCGUGAAGUUGGAUUCGCUAGUAAUCGCGCAUCAGCCAUGGCGCGGUGAAUACGUUCCCGGGCCUUGUACACACCGCCCGUCAAGCCAUGGAAGCUGGGGGUACCUGAAGUUCGUGACCAUUUAGGAGCGA